rnacentral:rRNA from 1 species
UAAUACGGAGGGUGCAAGCGUUAAUCGGAAUUACUGGGCGUAAAGCGCACGCAGGCGGUUUGUUAAGUCAGAUGUGAAAUCCCCGGGCUCAACCUGGGAACUGCAUUUGAAACUGGCAAGCUAGAGUCUCGUAGAGGGGGGUAGAAUUCCAGGUGUAGCGGUGAAAUGCGUAGAGAUCUGGAGGAAUACCGGUGGCGAAGGCGGCCCCCUGGACGAAGACUGACGCUCAGGUGCGAAAGCGUGGGGAGCAAACAGGAUUAGAUACCCUGGUAGUCCACGCUGUAAACGAUGUCGAUUUGGAGGUUGUGCCCUUGAGGCGUGGCUUCCGGAGCUAACGCGUUAAAUCGACCGCCUGGGGAGUACGGCCGCAAGGUUG